CAAACAAGGGCUGGCUGGAACUAGUUAAAAGCCUCCCAGUUAGUGAGCUGUAGGAGGAAGCCAUGCUGCUGGAGAAACUGGGCAGGACAAACCCUAUCAGGCACAAGGAAGAAAGCCCUGAGGGGAUAAAAAAGGAGGAGACAACAGAGAAAAAAAAAGGGCUGCCAUUGAGAAGCUGCCAUUGUAUUUUCUUUGGAACUGUGAAUAUUUUUCACAGAUGCUAUUGCUGGAGGAUACUACAACCAUGAUACAUUCUUUUAUCUCCCUGAUGGAUUUUUUUUUUUGCAAUUCUUCAUUUGGUGAUUUGGUACAUUCUUCCUCAAACAUUUGCUGCUUGCUGGGAUGUGCAUCAGUACAUGGACAUCCUACCACAUUACUCCUCUGGUGAAUUGAAGAUGCUGAAUUGGAUUUCAAUAAAAUUGUUGAUUGACUUUGUACUUCUUCUGCUUGUACAUCUUUUUCUUCCUUCCAUUCACAUAUUCAUUGUAAGAAGAAGAAAAAAAAAACAAUUAAAACAAAGAUUUUCUCACAAGUCACCUGCCCCUUCCUUCACAAUAAUCCCUAUGGAUUUGCUUCAUGUCAUUCCAAAGGGAGAAUGACAAGAUACACAUUAAAAAAUAAUU